AUAAUGUGAAUCUUUUCACUAUAAACAGACAAGCAUAGUCUGUCAGCCGUUCGGGAAGGUGACAGAUAAAUACCAGCGCCUCUCUGUGCGUCAUUGCGUCAUCACUAGAAUCCCAUGUGAUUGGCCGUAAUUUAAAAACACCUGUACCGGAAGCGCGGCAGUCGUGGCUAAAUUCAAUUUAGCGUGAAGUUGAAAACAUGGUUGGCGUCAUGAUUUGGUGUGUGGAACAUUAUUUAUUCCUCAUUCAGUCCCACUCUACAAUAUUCUGAAGACUUGUAGGCUGGCAUCGAUGCCAAGCGUGCUUCCUCCUCUUCAACCUGCAGACGGACAGAGGGGCAUAAGAAGGCUGUAACUGGAGGUGAAGCAGGUGCAGAGAAAGCCAUCUUGGAUUUCGUUUCUUUACCUGACAAGAUACAUUACCCGUUUGCAUUCCUCUUGCAUUUACAACGUGAAUCCAGUGCCCCUCCCUCUGCUUGAGAGGCAGAGGUGUCCCCGCCUUGACAGGGCAGCAGUGAGGACAGACCAUGCCCGAAGAAAAGAGGAAAGCAGGUGGAGAUGAAGCGAGGAAGAGAAACAGAUGUGCGUUAAAGAGUUUGCAUGAAGAAAGGAGGUCUCGUUUGAGCAGAGACAUGUUUCUUUAAGAUUUAGGUGAACUGUUAAUUUACUUCAAGGUUAAAAGCUCACAACUUUCCACAGUUGAAAUUUUGAUGUACACUUUCAGACGGCACAAUCCAGGGCAGCGCACACUUAAGGAAAUGGCUGAACACUAAACCAGUUCUCGAAGUAAUUGAAGCCCAACAUCAUUAAUUUGUAAUGUAUUUAGGGACUAGUGCAGGGUUAAUUAAUUUUUACCCAAGGAGUGUGCUCUGUAUUAAUUAUAAUGUCACUACAAUAAGUAUAAGCAAAGCUUUCACUGGGAAAAUGAUUUUAUAAUAAGAGCAGAUGUUUUAUUGAGUUUAGAACCAGAAUACAAAAGUAGGAAAUGAAGCGAAACAAAGGAUGGAGAAGGAGUCAAAUCAAGUUGGGGAACUCACUUCCUGAUGAGGAAGAUGGGCGUCUCUGGUCGGAGGAGUUGGUAAUGGCAUUGCUCUGGGUGGUUGGCGUCUCCGGGGGCAACGGAGGAGGCGGAGGGGGUGUUGACACUGGGUUGCUAGGGGGAAGAGGGGGCGGAGGAGGCGGAGGUGGGGGUGGGACUGAUUGCUCCGUGGCACCAUUCUCAGAGCUGUGGGCCGGGCCGUCGGUAGGCUCCUCCAACAACGCAGAGCCCUGGUCAGGGACAGACAAGGAGUCACUUUAUACACAUCAUCUUCAUUUAGUCGUCUUUCCAAGUUUUUUUUUUCUACAAACCAAAUUCCUGUGUUACUGUGUUGACCAAUAUUUGAAUGCUGCUAACUGAGCUCAUGCAGUCAUGCUUUAACUACAUGACUUUAAAAAUAAUAAUACAAAUAAUAUUAAUAAUAAUAAUUUUUCAUUGCAUUUUUAAUAAGUGGAUGGUUUUAUAAAUAAUCAAGAUUUGCUUUGUAUAAAGAAAUUCUUAGAUAUUGACAGUGAGCUUGUUCUCUCCAUGUAAUGGCAUGCCAGCUGAAGCUCCUGCUGGCUGAGCAAGCGUUACAUUCUUGCACACAGUCAGCAGUGACAGAUGUACGCAGCCCUGUUAGAUCCCUCUGCCACUUGGCAAUGUAAUCAACUCAUAAGACAUAAUGCCCUGUUGCUAAUAACAGAGCCAAUAUGACCUAAUCUCAAGGGAGCAACUCUGAGGGAAAACCGUGUCAAGAAGCCAUCUGCCACUGCAAGUGAUAGGGCUUUAACCCCCGCGCCUUAACCCCCCCCCCCAUCCCGACCUGCACGCGUCUGACACGCUCUGAAAGCAUGCCAGACCUCUGCUGGAAGCCAGUUAAUGGACCGUGACAUUUAACUCCACCCCGCCCUCCUUUAUUCCUCAGACGUGUGCUCAUCAUUGUCGCCCCCUUUUCUUUCCAAACCCCCCAGAGAGUUGGGGAGAGGGCUGUGUCCAGAUGGGUGUUAGCAGCACGUGCCAUUGCUUCUGCUGAUUAGCGGAUCCAUCUGCUAGGGCGCCUUUGAGACCAGGAGGGGCUCCACUGAGGCCUUAAUUGGCUCAAUGUGGAUUAUACCCAAUAUCACACAGAACACCCCCACCCCUGAUACCCAUGAGAUUAUGAGAACCGCUCUCCUGGGACACUGAUGAGUCUCUUAAAAGGCCAAUUCUUCUGGUGGCAGGUGGGAACAAAUGGAUAGUUAAACUAGUAUUCAUGAGGAAUACAUGAAGUCACAAACAGUGACUCAGUGACAGUGGAGGAGGAAAUUACAAAUAUUUUGAAUGCAGUGAAGGAAAUGAACUCUUUCACUUUGUAUAGCUUUUUCCAGGUACAGUUCCAAACAUUCAAAUCAAAAUUAUAACCAACAGCACAGUCAGGAUAAGCUUUACCAGCUUUAAGGAUAAAAAUAUCCUUUAGCUAAAAUAUAAAAUUUGGUUAAUUGACACCUGCUUUCAUGUUAGAUUGUCCCGAGUUUAUCCUGGUGUUGGCUCUGUAGAAAGAUUGUACAGAGACUGAAAGGAAUGGAAAUGAGGGGGCAGUUUGCAUCAGGUGGCAAACAAAAGCUCAAAGGUUAUGUAGGAUUAUGUAACAUGCUGAAUGGAAUAAUGCACAGGCAAAUAGUCCAGUCAUCAUUAUUGUAACCUAAUGCCAAGAGACACCCAGUCAAACUGAAAAAUGACCUUAUAUGGAGCUGAUGUGCCCACACAACCGAAAGGAUUAAAAGGAAAAACAGCCCAGUCAUAAACUAU